UACGUAGGUGGCGAGCGUUGUCCGGAAUUACUGGGUGUAAAGGGCGUGUAGGCGGGACUGCAAGUCAGAUGUGAAAUACCGGGGCUCAACUCCGGGGCUGCAUUUGAAACUGUAGUUCUUGAGUGCAGGAGAGGAAAGCGGAAUUCCUAGUGUAGCGGUGAAAUGCGUAGAUAUUAGGAGGAACACCAGUGGCGAAGGCGGCUUUCUGGACUGUAACUGACGCUGAGGCGCGAAAGCGUGGGGAGCGAAC
rnacentral:rRNA from 1 species